AGGCUGUUCUAGGAACAUAGCCUGAGCUUCUCAGUAUUAUUCUGUUCAUUCUUCAGUUUUGCUGCUGUUAUUGUUGCAGAAUGGAAAAGUGAGAGGGCUGAGGAAGGAGGAAGGUGGGUGAAACCAGGCCCCACAGAGAGAAAUCAUGCUGCAAAAAGCUGUCAGUGCUCUGAGAAUGGAGCUUUCCUCUGUGAAACGAGCCUGUAUUCUUUGGAGAAGAAUGGGGAAGGAAAGUCUCAAAUAAAUGGAUGUAAUUGCCUUCAUUAAAAGCUGACUGAACAGACUUUAUCCUGUGGGGUCUACUCUCUCUCUCUGAGUCUGGCCCUCUGAACUGAGAUGCAAGGAGAGAUAUCAACAUCAUGUCUUCAGAGGAUGAAUAACUUCCCAAGAAGCUUACACUACAUUAAGACCCAUCUUCACAAUGAACAUUCCUAGGAGAAGAGAGUGCAGGUGGCUGGGCCUUACGAGGGAGCCUUUGAGAAGUUAUUUUGGUGAAAAGCUGGCUGCCACCCACUGUGCUUCUCUGCCAGCCGCCGUGCUCCUUCACUCUCACCACACCUCUCUCAUCCUCAAGAUAUUUGAAGAGUUUGUAUUCAAGGUGUGGAACAUCCGUGUGAUCCAGCCUGUAAAAUACCAUCGUGGAAGUGAAAAUACUCCAGGUCACCGAAGAGGUGAACCCUUAUCGCUUCCCCGGAGCGCAGCAGUCACUUUGCAUCUCCUUGCUCCAGCUGGAGAGAGUCAGGAAAGUCAUGAACACAAGUUGCCCCUCCAAUGACUUGCUUACAUGGAGUUUGCCUGAUAGGCACUGAGAGCCAAAUGAGAUGAGUCCCACUUGUCACAUAUAUGACCCACUGGAGCCAGAAUCCUGCUUUCACAUUUUCAAGGAGCUCAAGUGAGCAGUAUUUAUACUAAGAAUUUAUGGAUAUAUAACUUAACAACCGAGACAUUGUUACUCUGCUUAUUCAACUACACUUGGAGCUAACAGAAGACCUUCUCUCCAACGCAUCUUUCUGUUGAGCUUAGAUCUGAAGACAUUGAAAAUAAUUGCAUUAAACUUGAUGAAAAUUUUUGCAAAAUUAAUACCUGAAGCUGAUUCUUCUUGUCAACAGUACCUAAGAAGCUCUGAGAUGUCCACGAUGGACCUACAAGUAAUUUGUCUAAAUGGCAUCUGUGUUACACACUGAAAGAGUAAUAAGGAAACAAAUAAAGACCAAUCAACCGAC
rnacentral:lncRNA from 7 species